rnacentral:tRNA from 1 species
GGGCGUGUAGCUCAGUUGGGAGAGCGCCUGCAUGGCAUGNNGGUCGCAGGUUCGAUCCCUGUCACGUCCACCA